AGGAUAAUAGUUAAGCUUAACAUUUAACUUGCACUUAAAAAACAUUGAAUUUCAAUUUAUCUUA
rnacentral:tRNA from 1 species